rnacentral:ncRNA from 2 species
UUAGUUAUUAAAGCGCCAGGACUGGAGUAACCCAGUUGACGAGGUGGAGGUUAUCGAUCUUUCGGCGGAUGCCUUCCGGUUGCAUGCACAACUGACCCUCUUUUUACUAAAUCAGUUUGGUGACAAAUUGGACAGAAUAAAAAGAGAUGCAUAUA